AAAUUACUCCCUCCGUUCGAAAUUACUUGUCUCGGAAAUGGAUGUAUCUAGAACUAAAAUACAUCUAGAUACAUCCAUUUUCGCGACAAGUAAUUCCGAACGGAGGGAGUAGAAC
rnacentral:pre_miRNA from 1 species